rnacentral:rRNA from 1 species
UACGGAGGGUGCAAGCGUUAUCCGGAUUCACUGGGUUUAAAGGGUGCGUAGGCGGGCAGGUAAGUCAGUGGUGAAAAUCCUAGAGCUUAACUCUAGAACUGCCAUUGAUACUAUCUGUCUUGAAUAUUGUGGAGGUAAGCGGAAUAUGUCAUGUAGCGGUGAAAAUGCUUUUAGAUAUGACAUAGAACACCUAUUGCGAAGGCAGCUUACUACGCAUAUAUUGACGCUGAGGCACGAAAGCGUGGGGGAUCAAACAGG